CUGUGAUAAUGACGGUACCUUGAUAAGAAGCACCGGCUAACUACGUGCCAGCAGCCGCGGUAAUACGUAGGGUGCGAGCGUUAAUCGGAAUUACUGGGCGUAAAGCGUGCGCAGGCGGUUUUGUAAGUCAGAUGUGAAAUCCCCGAGCUCAACUUGGGAACUGCGUUUGAAACUACAAGGCUAGAGUAUGGUAGAGGGGGGUAGAAUUCCACGUGUAGCAGUGAAAUGCGUAGAGAUGUGGAGGAAUACCAAUGGCGAAGGCAGCCCCCUGGACUAAUACUGACGCUCAUGCACGAAAGCGUGGGGAGCAAACAGGAUUAGAUACCCUGGUAGUCCACGCCCU
rnacentral:rRNA from 1 species